rnacentral:rRNA from 1 species
UAGGGAAUCUUCGGCAAUGGGGGCAACCCUUACCGAGCAACGCCGCGUGAGUGAAGAAGGUUUUCGGAUCGUAAAGCUCUGUUGUAAGAGAAGAACGUGUGUGAGCGAGGAAAGUUCACACAGUGACGGUAACUUCCCAGAAAGGGACUGCUAACUACGUGCCAGCAGCCGCGGUAAUACGUAGGUCCCGAGCGUUGUCCGGAUUUAUUGGGCGUAAAGCGAGCGCAGGCGGUUUAAUAAGUCUGAAGUUAAAGGCAGUGGCUUAACCAGUGUUCGCUAAGGAAACUGUUAAACUUGAGUGCAGAAGGGGAGAGUGGAAUUCCAUGUGGAGCGGUGAAAUGCGUAGAUCUAUGGAGGAACACCGGUGGCGAAAGCGACUCUCUGGUCUGUAACUGUAGCUGAGGCUCGAAAGCGUGGGGAGCAAACAGG